UUCCCCGAAGAAGCGAAGGGAAAGAGGGGAGGAGAGUGAGAGAGAUCGAACUAAAACGAAGGAACGAUGGCUUCUCCUCUCUUGCUUCGAUCUAGGGCUUCGAUUCGGGCCGUUUCGAUGUCUCUCAGGUCCUCGAAGAGUUCUAUGCACGAGCCCCAGCUUUCUCCGCCCUCGUCGUGCCUUCGAUCACCGGUUACCUCGUCCAAGAGGCGCGGUUGUUGCGCUCCGAGAUUACCUGCUCUGAGUUCCAGCCGCUGUUUGGCGUCGAUGUUGCCUCUCCACGCUGCGGUUGCUUCGGCUCGACUGAACUCGCUUCUCCCCGCGGAGCCCCAGAGCUGGGGAUGGGUUCCACAAGGCAUCUCGAUGCCUUUAUGACAGAUCUGGUGGUUCUGUUUGGGUCACAAGAGGCUUCAGCUGGUGAUGAAGUACGACAGGAUGUGAUUUCUUGUUAAAUGCACUCUUGGAGAUUUUCUUUGUUUCAGCAAAAACCGGCACGUUCUUGAAAUUCACAUUCUUGUUGCUCCGUUGUUUUUGAUUUCUAUAGCUGCAUAAUGCGGCCACUGGCUUAGAUCAUUCAGAAGAAAAUACCUUCUAGAAUUUUAGUGACUGGGACCUCUUAAAAUUAAUGAAAGAGUUUGAUCAGUGUA